UGCGUAGGCGGCUUUGUAAGUCAGUGGUGAAAUAUGGCAGCUCAACUGUCAGGGUGCCAUUGAUACUGCAGAGCUUGAGUACAGAUGAGGUAGGCGGAAUUGACGGUGUAGCGGUGAAAUGCUUAGAUAUCGUCAAGAACACCGAUAGCGAAGGCAGCUUACUGGGCUGUAACUGACGCUGAGGCACGAAAGUGUGGGGAUCAAACAGGAUUAGAUACCCUGGUAGUCCACACUGUAAACGUUGAUGACUCGCUGUUGGCGAUACACAGCCAGCGGCAGAGAGAAAUCGUUAAGUCAUCCACCUGGGGAGUACGCCGGCAACGGUGAA
rnacentral:rRNA from 1 species